AAUGGCAGGUCAGCAUACUGCCGUGAAUACGUUCCCGGGCCUUGUACACACCGCCCGUCACACCAGGAGAGUUGGGAAUACCCGAAGCCUGUGAGCUAACUUUUAGAGGCAGCAGUCGAAGGUAGAAUCAAUGAUUGGGGUGAAGUCGUAACAAGGUAGC
rnacentral:rRNA from 1 species